UACGAACGCUGGCGGCGUGCCUAAUACAUGCAAGUAGAACGCAGUUGCGAACGGGUGAGUAACGCGUAGGUAACUGCCUCAUAGCGGGGGAUAACUUUUGGAAACGCUAGCUAAUACCGCAUACUGUGAGAUGGACCUGCGUUGUAUGAGUUUGUUGGUGUGGUAAAGGCUCACCAGGGCGACGAUACAUAGCCGACCUGAGAGGGUGAGCGGCGACAGUGGGACAGAGACACGGGCCAGACUCGGACGGAAGGCAGCAGAAGGGAAUCUUCGGAAAUGGACGGAAGUCUGACCGAGCAACGGGGCGGGAGUGAAGAAGGUAUUCGAGUGGUAAAGCACUGUUGUUAGAGAAGCGGUAACUAACCAGAAAGGGACGGCUAACGACGUGCCAGCAGCCGCGGUAAUUC
rnacentral:rRNA from 1 species